CCCCGCUCCCUCCCCCUCCCCGGCCUCUCUUCCCCGGUUCAAAUCAGCAGCAUGUCUGAGGACGGCGUGGACAGAGUGAUUAAGGAAUCCUCCAUAUUAGAUGAGUACGCAAUUAAUUGGACUCAGAAGCUGGGAGCUGGGAUCAGCGGGCCUGUACGAGUAUGCAUGAAAAAGUCAACGGGAGAACGAUUUGCACUAAAGAUUCUCCUUGAUCGCCCAAAAGCAAGAAAUGAGGUUCGACACCACCUGAUGUGUGUGGGCCACAAUAACAUUGUUCAGAUUAUUGAGGUUUAUGCGAACAGCGUUCAGUUCCCCCAUGAGUCCAGUCCAAGGCCUCGGCUGCUAAUUGUGAUGGAGAUGAUGGAAGGUGGGGAGCUGUUUCACAGAAUCAGCCAACACAAGCACUUUACAGAGAAAAUGGCAAGCCAGGUUACUAAACAGAUUGCACUGGCUAUACAGCACUGUCACUCCCUGAACAUUGCCCACAGAGACCUCAAACCUGAAAACCUCCUCUUCAAGGACAACUCUCUGGAUGCACCAGUUAAACUGUGCGACUUUGGAUUUGCCAAAAUCGAUCACGGGGAUCUGAUGACUCCACAGUUCACUCCAUAUUAUGUAGCACCUCAGGUACUGGAAGCCCAGAGGAGACACCAGAAAGAGAAAUCUGGAAUCAUACCUACCUCACCCACUCCCUACACAUACAACAAGAGCUGUGACCUGUGGUCGCUGGGUGUAAUAAUUUACGUGAUGCUAUGCGGAUAUCCACCGUUUUAUUCCAAACACCACAGCCGGACUAUCCCGAAGGACAUGCGGAAAAAGAUCAUGACGGGAAGUUUUGAAUUCCCAGAGGAAGAGUGGAGUCAGAUUUCCGAGAUGGCGAAGGACAUUGUGAGAAAGUUGCUGAAGGUAAAGCCGGAGGAACGACUCAAUAUUGAAGGGGUGCUGGAUCAUCCCUGGCUGAACUCCACAGAAGCUUUAGAUAACAUCCUCCCAUCUUCCCAAAUGAUGAUGGAUAAGGCAAUGGUUGCUGGGAUCCAGCAGGCCCAUGCAGAGCAGCUGGCCAGUAUGAGAAUUCAGGAUCUGAAAGUGAGCCUUAAACCUCUAAACUCUGUUAAUAACCCAAUUCUUCGCAAGAGGAAACUACUUGGCACGAGGCCCAAGGACGGUGUCUAUAUUCAUGAUCCAGAGAAUGAGGCAGAGGAUGCCAAUGUCGCUCUAGAGAAGCUGCGGGAUGUCAUCGCGCAGUGUAUUCUACCGCAAGCUGGAGAGAAUGAAGAUGAGAAGUUGAAUGAGGUGAUGCAGGAGGCUUGGAAAUACAAUAAAGACUGUAAAUUUCUUCGUGACAUGCUGCAGAGCCUCAGCUGGAAUGAGUGCUGCCAACUAAGCUGACAUGGAUGAACAUGCCUGAACUAAGGGGAGAAAAAGUUAUCGAGAACUAUACAGUGAAAUUGGUUAAGGGGCGACGGUUUAAUGAUAAAGUUGAUCGUCUGAAACUUGCAGAAAUGGUCAAACAGGUCAUUGAAGAACAAACAAACUCACAGGAUUCCUAACAUUAGUGCCUGCUGUUUUUACACUGUACCAGGAG